UUGAAAACCAAAGUCUUAUGAUGGUCUUGGACUAUUUAAUUUGGUAUCUAAGAAUAUUGCUAGCGGGAAAUAGUUAUGCUAAUUUUCCUUGGAGUUGGAUUCCUUUGCUAUAAGUUGGUUUGGACUAAACAUAAAGGAUGACCAGCCAAGGCAAAAACCAAUUUCAUUCUUGUGAACACUUGGAAGAUCAUUUGAGAGGAACAUUUAUUAUUAUUUUCUCUGUAAUUAUUGCUUCAAUUAUCAUGAUUGUUG
rnacentral:misc_RNA from 1 species